AUUGAACGCUGGCGGCAGGCUUAACACAUGCAAGUCGAGUGAGCGGCGGACGGGUGAGUAAUGUCUGGGAAACUGCCUGAUGGAGGGGGAUAACUACUGGAAACGGUAGCUAAUACCGCAUACCAUCAGAUGUGCCCAGAUGGGAUUAGCUAGUAGGUGGGGUAAUGGCGCACCUAGGCGACGAUCCCUAGCUGGUCUGAGAGGAUGACGAGCAAGACUGGAACUGAGACACGGUCCAGAUUCCUCCGGUAGGAAGCAGUGGGGAAUAUUGCACAAUGGGCGCAAGCCUGAUGCAGCCAUGCCGCGUGUGUGAAGAAGGCCUUCGGGUUGUAAAGCACUUUCAGCGAGGAGGCGUUACUCGCAGAAGAAGCACCGGCUAACUCCGUGCCAGCAGCCGCGGUAAUUC
rnacentral:rRNA from 1 species